CGUGUUUUCUUCCAAGGGGCUUGCUGCGUAGAAAAUGCUCAGAGCAAAGUGAGAGCCAGGAGGGCGUCUUGUGGAGAAUGUGGCCGCUCUGGCUCAGGGACAUGCACAGACCUCUCAGUGCCACACGCAA